CAUUACUAUGAGCAACGGCGCCUCCCGGGCGUCGCGGCUGCCAACCCUUUGUGAACCACAACUUGUUGCCUCGGGGGCGACCCUGCCGUCCGCGGCGCGGCGCCCCCGGUGGACCCAACCAAACCUGCAUUAUUGUCGUCGGAGUACUUUGUUAAUAACAAACAAAACUUUCAACAACGGAUCUCUUGGUUCUGGCAUCGAUGAAGAACGCAGCGAAAUGCGAUAAGUAAUGUGAAUUGCAGAAUUCAGUGAAUCAUCGAAUCUUUGAACGCACAUUGCGCCCCGUGGUAUUCCGCGGGGCAUGCCUGUUCGAGCGUCAUUUCACCCCUCGAGUCUGACUCGGUAUUGGGCGCCGCGGUUCGCCGCGCGCCUCAAAGUUCCCGGCUGGGCGACCCGUCUCCUACGCGUUGUGGCAACAUUUUCGCUCGGGAGCCGCGGGUGGCCGUCGGCCGCUAAACACCCCAUCAAAGGUUGACCUCGGAUCAGGUAGGGAUACCC
rnacentral:rRNA from 1 species